rnacentral:rRNA from 1 species
ACUGCUCAGUAACACGUAGUCAACAUGCCCAGGGGACGUGGAUAACCUCGGGAAACUGAGGAUAAACCGCGAUAGGCCAUAAUUCCUGGAAUGGUUUAUGACUGAAACCUAUAUGGCCCCUGGAGUGUACAGUGCCGCCGAUCAGGCUGUUGGUGAGGUAAUGGCCCACCAAACCUGUAACCGGUACGGGCUCUGAGAGGAGAAGCCCGGAGAUGGGCACUGAGACAAGGGCCCAGGCCCUAUGGGGCGCAGCAGGCGCGAAACCUCUGCAAUAGGCGAAAGCCUGACAGGGUUACUCUGAGUGGUUCCCGCUA